rnacentral:rRNA from 1 species
UGGGGAAUAUUGCACAAUGGGCGCAAGCCUGAUGCAGCCAUGCCGCGUGUAUGAAGAAGGCCUUCGGGUUGUAAAGUACUUUCAGCGAGGAGGAAGGCGUUGUGGUUAAUAACCGCAGCGAUUGACGUUACUCGCAGAAGAAGCACCGGCUAACUCCGUGCCAGCAGCCGCGGUAAUACGGAGGGUGCAAGCGUUAAUCGGAAUUACUGGGUGUAAAGCGCACGCAGGCGGUCUGUCAAGUCGGAUGUGAAAUCCCCGGACUCAACCUGGGAACUGCAUCCGAAACUGGCAGGCUAGAGUCUUGUAGAGGGGGGUAGAAUUCCAGGUGUAGCGGUGAAAUGCGUAGAGAUCUGGAGGAAUACCGGUGGCGAAGGCGGCCCCCUGGACAAAGACUGACGCUCAGGUGCGAAAGCGUGGGGAGCAAACA